rnacentral:rRNA from 1 species
AGUGAACGCUGGCGGUAGGCCUAACACAUGCAAGUCGAACGGCAGCACAGUAAGAGCUUGCUCUUACGGGUGGCGAGUGGCGGACGGGUGAGGAAUACAUCGGAAUCUACUUUUUCGUGGGGGAUAACGUAGGGAAACUUACGCUAAUACCGCAUACGACCUACGGGUGAAAGCAGGGGAUCUUCGGACCUUGCGCGAUUGAAUGAGCCGAUGUCGGAUUAGCUAGUUGGCGGGGUAUAGGCCCACCAAGGCGACGAUCCGUAGCUGGUCUGAGAGGAUGAUACGCCACACGGGAACUGAGACACGGUCCAGCACCCUAGGGGAGGCAGCAGUGGGGAAUAUUGGAAAAGGGGCGAAAGCCUGAUCCAGCCAUACCGGGGGGGUGAAGAAGGCCUUCGGGUUGUAAAGCCCUUUUGUGGGGAAAGAAAAGCAGCAGGUUAAAACCCCGCUGUUUUGACGGUACCAAAAGAAUAAGCACCGGCUAACUUCGU